UGGGGAAUCUUCCGCAAUGGGUGAAAGCCUGACGGAGCAACGCCGCGUGAGGGACGAAGGCCUCUGGGCUGUAAACCUCUUUUCUCAAGGAAGAAGAUAUGACGGUACUUGAGGAAUAAGCCACGGCUAAUUCCGUGCCAGCAGCCGCGGUAAUACGGGAGUGGCAAGCGUUAUCCGGAAUUAUUGGGCGUAAAGCGUCCGCAGGCGGCUUUUCAAGUCUGCUGUUAAAGCGUGGAGCUUAACUCCAUCAUGGCAGUGGAAACUGAAAGGCUUGAGUAUGGUAGGGGCAGAGGGAAUUCCCGGUGUAGCGGUGAAAUGCGUAGAUAUCGGGAAGAACAUCAGUGGCGAAGGCGCUCUGCUGGGCCAUUACUGACGCUCAUGGACGAAAGCCAGGGGAGCGAAAGGGAUUAGAUACCCCUGUAGUCA
rnacentral:rRNA from 1 species